AUUGAACGCUGGCGGCAGGCCUAACACAUGCAAGUCGAGCGGAGCGGAGGACGGGUGAGUAAUGGCUAGAAAUCUGCCUGGUCGUGGGGGAUAACGUCCGGAAACAGGCGCUGAUACCACAUACUAUCAGAUGAGCCUAGGUCGGAUUAGCUAGUGGGAGGGGUAAGGGCCUACAAAGGCGACGAUCCGUAACUGGUCUUAGAGGAUGAGCAGCCACACUGGAACUGAGACACGGUCCAGACUCCUACGUGAGGCAGCAGUGGGGAAGAUUGGACAAUGGGCGAAACCCUGACCCAGCAAUCCCGCGUGUGUGAAGAAGGUCUCCGGUUUGCAAAGCACUUUAAGUUGGGAGGCGUUACCAACAGAAUAAGCACCGGCUAACUUCGUGCCAGCAGCCGCGGUAAUAC
rnacentral:rRNA from 1 species